rnacentral:rRNA from 1 species
GACGAACGCUGGCGGCGUGCUUAACACAUGCAAGUCGAACGGAAAGGCCCUGCUUUUGUGGGGUGCUCGAGUGGCGAACGGGUGAGUAACACGUGAGUAACCUGCCCUUGACUUUGGGAUAACUUCAGGAAACUGGGGCUAAUACCGGAUAGGAGCUCCUGCUGCAUGGUGGGGGUUGGAAAGUUUCGGCGGUUGGGGAUGGACUCGCGGCUUAUCAGCUUGUUGGUGGGGUAGUGGCUUACCAAGGCUUUGACGGGUAGCCGGCCUGAGAGGGUGACCGGCCACCUUGGGACUGGGGAACGGACCAGACUCCUACGGGAGGCAGCAGUGGGGAAUAUUGCACAAUGGGCGGAAGCCUGAUGCAGCAACGCCGCGUGCGGGAUGACGGCCUUCGGGUUGUAAACCGCUUUCGCCUGUGACGAAGCGUGAGUGACGGUAAUGGGUAAAGAAGCACCGGCUAACUACGUG